AUCCCAUGAUAAGAACACUUAAGAAGUAAUUCUUUGAAUCUCUCCCAUGCCUCAUACAAAGAUUUGUCAUCCAAUUGUUGAAAAGUGGUUAUCUCAUUUCACAACUU
rfam:Gossypium hirsutum cultivar TM-1 chromosome 21, whole genome shotgun sequence